rnacentral:rRNA from 1 species
UACGUAGGGUGCAAGCGUUGUCCGGAAUUAUUGGGCGUAAAGAGCUCGUAGGCGGUUUGUCGCGUCGGGAGUGAAAUCCACUGGCUUAACUGGUGGCUUGCUUUCGAUACGGGCAGACUGGAGGUAUGCAGGGGAGAACGGAAUUCCUGGUGUAGCGGUGAAAUGCGCAGAUAUCAGGAGGAACACCGAUGGCGAAGGCCAGGUCUCUGGGCCACUAC